CUUCAGCGAGCCGAGCCACAGCGGCCCCUGGUCGCCGCGCUCCUGCCCGUACGUGGCGAGCAGGGCCUCCGCCUC
rnacentral:antisense_RNA from 2 species